rnacentral:rRNA from 1 species
ACUCCUACGGGAGGCAGCAGUAAGGAAUAUUGCGCAAUGGGCGACAGCCUGACGCAGCGACGCCGCGUGGGGGAUGAAGGUCUUCGGAUUGUAAACCCCUUUCGGCAGGGAAGAUGGAACGGGCAACCGUUCGGACGGUACCUGCAGAAGCAGCCACGGCUAACUUCGUGCCAGCAGCCGCGGUAAUACGAAGGUGGCAAGCGUUGUUCGGAUUUACUGGGCGUACAGGGAGCGUAGGCGGUUGGGUAAGCCCUCCGUGAAAUCUCCGGGCCUAACCCGGAAAGUGCGGAGGGGACUGCUCGGCUAGAGGAUGGGAGAGGAGCGCGGAAUUCCCG